rnacentral:rRNA from 1 species
GGGGAAUCUUCCGCAAUGGGCGAAAGCCUGACGGAGCAAGACCGCGUGGGGGAAGAAGGCUCUUGGGUUGUCAACCCCCUUUCUCAGGGAAGAAGUUCUGACGGUACCUGAGGAAUAAGCAUCGGCUAACUCCGUGCCAGCAGCCGCGGUAAGACGGAGGAUGCAAGCGUUAUCCGGAAUUAUUGGGCGUAAAGCGUCCGUAGGUGGCUUUUCAAGUCGGCGGUCAAAGACCGGGGCUUAACUCCGGAAAGGCCGUGGAAACUGAAAGGCUAGAGAAAGGUAGGGGUAGGGGGAAUUCCCGGUGUAGCGGUGAAAUGCGUAGAGAUCGGGAAGAACACCGGUGGCGAAAGCGCCCUACUGGACCUUAUCUGACACUGAGGGACGAAAGCUAGGGGAGCGAAUGGGAUUAGAUACCCCAGUAGUC